GCCUAGUUAGCUUAGUUGGUAGUGCGUCUGCCUUGUAAGCGCUAGGCCGCGGGUUCGAAUCCCGCCUGGGGCG
rnacentral:tRNA from 1 species